rnacentral:rRNA from 1 species
CCACGCUGCCAAGAAAAGCGUCUAGAGAGAGAAGUAGUGCCCGUACCGCAAACCGACACAGGUAGGUGAGGAGAGAAUCCUAAGGCCGGCGGAAGAAUUACAGUUAAGGAACUCGGCAAAUUGACCCCGUAAGUUCGCGAGAAGGGGUGCCUACGAGAGUAGGCCGCAGAGAAUAGGCCCAAGCAACUGUUUAGCAAAAACACAGGUCUCUGCUAAAGCGUAAGCUGAUGUAUAGGGGCUGACGCCUGCCCGGUGCUGGAAGGUUAAGGGGAACACUUAGCGCAAGCGAAGGUGUGAACUUAAGCCCCAGUAAACGGCGGCCGUAACUAUAACGGUCCUAAGGUAGCGAAAUUCCUUGUCAGGUAAGUUCUGACCCGCACGAAUGGCGUAAUGACUUGGGCACUGUCUCAACUGUAAAUCCGGCGAAGUUGUAGUGCGAGUGAAGAUGCUCGCUACCCGCGAUUGGACGGAAAGACCCCGUAGAGCUUUACUGUAGCUUAGCAUUGAGUUUUGGUAUUGUCUGUACAGGAUAGGUGGGAGACUAGGAAA